rnacentral:lncRNA from 1 species
GGGUAAACAGCAUUGAGUGUGCCCAACAGUUCCCUUAGCACAGUAAUCUAUUUAAAAUGAUAAUGAGAAUUUAAUCAAUUACUGAUUUCCGGGGGGGGGGGGUUCAUCAGGCAUCGCAAAUCACCACUGAUCUUUGAUCAAGCACACGACUGGUCUGAAUAAAUAUAUGCAAGGAAGUGAGUCAAGGUGUGAUAGUAGGCAAAGUCUUCUCAACAGGGGUUUGUUUCCUGGUUGGUAUCAAGAUAGAUAAGCUUUAUUUAUCAAGCUCUAUUUCUGGAGCUGUAUAAGUAGAAAUCAGCAGACAUUUGGGCUCAAAAGGAUGAUGCCCAAACUUGUGUUUAGUUUCGUCUCCAUCACAAGUUCAGUCAUGAUCUCAGUCAAUUCCUAUUCUUUUUGCACAGGUGAUUUGAGAUAAGGUUACAAACCAGAACCAGAAUGAGAAACUUUCCUUCCUUAGAAGUAGAUCUGGGUUUUGUCAGUUCUGCUGGUUUUCAUCAUUGAUGCAAGUCUGGUUCCUUGUUUCUCUUGUUCAGUACUUUUUUUUUCUUUUUUUUUUUUUCCUAUAACCUACCACUCUCCCCAUGUUGCUUUUCCUAGCAGAGCUCACCAUAAACACAAAAUGUUUAUUCUGUCUCCCUUUUCAGCAUGAUGCAGUGGAAGAAGCAGCAAGCUGGGAUCAAGGAGGCAUGGAGAGCUGUUGCAAGUAGCUUGAAGUUGUAGCCAUAUGUGAAAACACCACCAGUUCUGAAAAUGGACCAUGGAUUUGCAAUGAUUAGUGGGACAACCAGAAAGGAAUGGAGAGAUACUGGAGAGCCCUCCCCACCAUCUGCACACUGGAGCCAUUUGCACUGUGGGAUUCCCUAGUUUCUAGCAUUACAAAAAUAAUCAACACCAAAUGAAAAAGUAUUUACUCUUAAAAUCUCAAUAUAAAAGGAACCUCAUAUAUAAGUGACCCUUUCUCCCCCUACGUUUAUAUAUACUUCCAUAAUGCUGAACUGAUUUCUUCAUUUCUUUGCCUUCCAUUAAAACAAACAAGCAAGCAAAACCAGUCCAAGUUUUAUGUAAAGGACUUGCUGCAUAAACUCCAUGAUUCACCGUCUUGGUGGGCACUGCAUUCCCAAAUACUAGGCCCAACAGCAGGAAUUCUGGUCCACAAGCAACUUCCUACAGUCUCAUGGAGAUGCAAGAGAUUCAGAGAGAUCCUACCUUCUCAGGCACUCCUGCACUUGGCUUGGAAGGGGAUCCAGCCACACAGACUUGGAGGGAGUAGUCCCUGCAGGGUUGGUUAGGUGCUAGGAAAGAGGAUCUGCCCACUUUUGGAGAUGGAGAGCCUGUGACUGACCUGCAGUUGCCAACCAGACCACCAUCAUUUGAAAUUCAGUCUGCUGCCAGCAGAUAACCUUGUAUUCAGGCUGACAGAGAUUUCAGACUCUUCUCAUCCUGAAUUGGUAUCUGUUCCUGUUUGCACAUAGCCCCAUAAUGGGAUCUGGUCCUGAUUAAGGCCAGUUGUAAAUAACGUGUAAAUAUCAGCAGAGAGCUUUUUAGAAGAGCUA